GCAUGGGUAGUGAUACAUCGCUAUCCGAUGAUCGUGAAGUUGAGGUUUCGCAUUAAGCUGCACAUGUAUCUGAUCUCUAUGGAUAUCCACUUGAACUUGGACUAGGAUGCUUUCUUCGACUUCAAUCUAUUUUCAUCAAGAUGGAUCAGCAAGCUCCUAGAUUCGCCUUCAAUCUAAUCUUCGAUAGGAUCUCGAUUAACUCUUGAUUGCAGCCUUCUUUUUCCUUCGUAUAGA
rnacentral:lncRNA from 1 species